rnacentral:lncRNA from 1 species
GCUCGGAUGAGCAGCGCUUCCUGAGCAUCCUUCACAUUCUCAGGCCUGCCUCCCCACUUCUUCAGGCAAGUGUUUUGAAGGGCUCUUGCAUAUGAGAAUGACACAUGCCAUGGGUUUGGAGCUUGGUUCAUUGCAUUCAAGUUCAAGGUAGCCUCAACUUCAGACUGCCCACCAGACAAAAACUGCCAAAAAAAUGCAACCAAACAACCAUUAGCUGCUAAGUUUCCUCUAGGCAUGUUAAAGAACUUAUAUUAUCGUAGCCAAUUACCAUGAUUCCAGGGACAGCUGGAGGGAUUCUUUGGCGGAGGAGGCUGAGGGUGUAAUCAGCAACUUGUUGAGGAGUAGCCCUGUCCUUGCACUCCGCACCGGGAGUGACCAUACUUGGCUUGAGGAGGAUACCUUGAAACAUCACAUUGUUCUGGGAAAGAUAGAAGAAAACCUCAGCCCAUACCUUUUUGGCUACUUCGAAAGUCCUGUCAAUUCCGUGAUCACCAUCAAGCAAGAUCUCUGGCUCAACAAUUGGAACCAAUCCAUUGUCCU